rnacentral:rRNA from 1 species
GACGAACGCUGGCGGCGUGCUUAACACAUGCAAGUCGAACGGUAAGGCCCCAGCUUGCUGGGGUACACGAGUGGCGAACGGGUGAGUAACACGUGGGUGACCUGCCCCGCACUUCGGGAUAAGCCUGGGAAACUGGGUCUAAUACCGGAUAGGACCGCACCGUGAGGGGGUGGUGGAAAGUUUUUCGGUGUGGGAUGGGCCCGCGGCCUAUCCGCUUGUUGGGGGGGUAAUGGCCUACCAAGGCGGCGACGGGUAGCCGGCCUGAGAGGGUGGACGGCCACAUGGGGACUGGGACACGGCCCAGACUCCUACGGGAGGCAGCGGUGGGGAAUAUUGCACAAUGGGCGGAAGCCUGAUGCAGCGACGCCGGGUGGGGGAUGACGGCCUUCGGGUUGUAAACUCCUUUCACCAUCGACGAAGGUUUUCUGACGGUAGAUGGAGAAGAAGCACCGGCUAACUACGU